rnacentral:rRNA from 1 species
AUUGAACGCUGGCGGCAGGCCUAACACAUGCAAGUCGAACGAGUGGCGGACGGGUGAGUAAUGUCUGGGAAACUGCCCGAAGGAGGGGGAUAACUCCUGGAAACGGUAGCUAAUACCGCAUACCAUCGGAUGUGCCCAGAUGGGAUUAGCUAGUAGGUGGGGUAAUGGCUCACCUAGGCGACGAUCCCUAGCUGGUCUGAGAGGGUGACCAGCCACACUGGAACUGAGACACGGUCCAGACUCCUACGGGAGGCAGCAGUGGGGAAUAUUGCACAAUGGGCGCAAGCCUGAUGCAGCCAUGCCGCGUGUAUGAAGAAGGCCUUCGGGUUGUAAAGUACUUUCAGCGAGGAGGCGGUACUCGAAGAAGAAGCACCGGCUAACUCCGUGCCAGCAGCCGCGGUAAUAC